rnacentral:lncRNA from 1 species
AAAAGAUUGCAUUUAAUUUAAGAAAAUGAAACAUUAGAAGAUCGAACAAAUCGACAGAAUUCUAAUAGAGAAACAGAGAGAGCAAGAAGGGAACAUUCGAAGACAUAUUUCAAAUGCAAAAUAUAUCUAUAUCAGAAAGAUUUUCAGAAUCUAUUGAAAAAAUCCUGUCAUCUAAAAGUUGUAAUUUAAGAAAAAAAAAACUUAAAUACAACUCCAUGAACUGCCCAGGCAAUGCCAGGUGCAGGUCUGCUAGUUUGAUUAUAAAUAACUUGUGCAUUCACUUUAAUCAGGAGUACCAACCAUGGGAUCUCUUCUGAAUUUUCCAGUUCUUAUAUAUGUUGUAGGCAUUACUUUCCCAAAACCUAUGAUAAAGUAAUAUGAUUCAACUCUCAGGCAUUCUUGAAAAAAGGGAUUUAAAGUUUUUUGUUAUUUAAAUACUGGUUAAUAUUAUCAAUUAAAUGAGUGCUGU